GACAAUCAAAUGAAUCACCUUGUCCUAUUUAUUUGUCUAAUUGGAAAGAAAACAAGCAUUGACAGCUGGAGAUCCUAUAAAAAAGGUGAAGUCCCAAUGGAAAAGUUGAAUUGGCAUUAGAGGGGUCAAUACAAAGAUUCACUUGACCAACAUUGAUAAAAAGAGUCAUUGCAUUAGAAUGGUUUCCAAUUAGAAUGGACUUGAUGCAUGCUCAGAGCGUUGCAAUAAAACAUUGUUUUAAGUGGCACAAAUUUAACAAAGGUAGACUACACAAACACAACAAAGGUGCUUCUGAGUUCACCCAGUUCUUUUAGGUACCUGACAUUAGUUGGGGAAAAGUAAAGGCGGUUGGUCAUUUCGCUGGCCACUUGACACCCUUUAACACAGAAACAGAUGACCUUUACAUCAUCUGCCCAAGGUCGGAAAAGGGUAAUUACUUUUUUAUCUCUGAUUACCAUGCCAAUUGCUCUAGCAGCAGCAUUCAGUUUUGAUAUAAGAUCUUGUACCUGGAAAGAGGUAUAUAUCAUCUGCAAACCUUAGAUUGGAAAUAGGACGCCAAUUUAUGGUCAAGCUAGGAGUAAAGUUUCCAUUAUAAUAAGCUCCAGAAAUAUGUUAAAAAGAGCAUCCUUGCCGCAAUCCUAUGGAUGUCCUAAACAUUUCUUCAAUUUGGUUGUUCAGAAGUACUGUGUUAUUUGCCUUUUGAUGUUUUUAUCUAAUCUAUAUUGAACUCCCUCAUCACUUGCCACAUGCCAAACCCUGUCAAAAGCUUUUUUAAAGUCUACGAAGUUGUGUACCAGUUUCUUUUGGUGUUGAAAGCAUUUUUAAUUAACAGUCUAAUGUUAACUAUUUGUUCAACAGUGCUUCUACCUGCUCUGAAGUUUGCCUAUUCUUUGGAAAGGACAUCCUCAGCUUUUCUUCUGAGUAUGUUGAGAAUUAUUCUUGGCAUUAUCUUGCUCGGGUGACUCAUUAGAAUUACUAUUCAAUAGUUUUGGCACUGUCUCUAAGUUUCCAUUCUUGGGCAGUGGAAUAAUUAAUGAUUGGUUCCAUUCUUUUAGCCAUGUUUUUUUUCCCCAUAUUUUCUGGCAGAUUGUCCUAAAACAUAUAGCUUUUUGUGAGCCACCAUGUUUUAAAAGUUCUGAUGGUAUGUUAAGUGAUUUUAUUGCUUCCCCUACUUCUGACUCAAAAAACGGAGCUUCGCUAAGUUCUCUGUUGUCCCAAGGUGUUUUGUUGAUUAGACUGCAUUUGGGAUUUAUCUCAAAGUUAAACAGAUCUUAGCAAUAUUCUGUCCAUCUUCUAAGCACAUCUGCUUCUUCAAUUACUCUGGUUCUUGCUUGUCUUGUGUUGGUUAAAGCUUUUAAUGUUUUGUAUGCUUUUUUGAUAUUGCCAACUAGUCUAGAUCUAGAUAAUAAAGAUUAGAUUAUUUUAUUCUAAAUCUAGACAUUUAAUACUAACAUAAUAGAUCAAUGUAAUAAAUCUAUCACUUUGUGUGUGUUGUUUCUGUUUAGUUUUUCAAAGAAGUUUUCUUAGAAUAGAAUCUAUAUUUAUAGAUCUAGAUCUAAAACUAAAACAUUAAUGUACACUUUAAUAGGCUAAUAUAUAAAAAAAAGAUUCUUGAUCGACCGCCGGCGGACAAUGGUUAUGCUUUCCCUGGAUGUGGCAAAAUAUGUAGGUCACAGAUGGGGCUGCAUAACCACAGGAAAUACUGCAUUCCCCAAUAGUCUUCUGACUCGAAGACAAGCCUUGAUUAUCAUCAUUAUUAUUAUUAUAAAAAAAAAUAAAAUUUGUAAGUCUAAAGUAGUCUAGAUUUAAUACAUUAAAAUUCUUUCUGUCAAUGUCAAUGGAAGUGCUGAGAAUAUUUGGUCAUUGAUGCUAUUAUAAAUUAUGAAUGUUUUACUGCUGUUAAUUGGUUUAUAAAUUUUGAAUGUUUCAUUGCUAUUAUAAAGUUUUAAUGUUAUACUGCUAUUAAUCGGUUAGAAUGUUUCACCGCUAUUAUAAAGUUUAAAUGUUUUACAGCUAUUAAAAGAUUUCAAUGUUUUGGUGCUAUUAUAAAGUUUGAAUGUUUUACAGCUAUUAUAAAGUUAUUUUUUUUUAUUUUUAUAUAUUAUAAAGUUAUUUUUUUAAUUUUUAUAUAUUAUAAAGUUAUUUUUUUUAAUGUAAUUUUUCUGGCAUGCUGCAAAUCUUGCAUCCAUGCAUAUAAAUAUUAUGUAUAAAUAUUAUGCCUACCAUAACCUGACUACUUACCACAAAACCAGCUGCUAAAGCUGCAUGCAUUAUAAAAAUGAAAGCCAUCAUUCCUAAAGCAAUCUGUAGAUAUAUUAGAAAACAAAUAUAUAAAUCAAUGUUCCUGUAAAAGCAACAUAAAGUAAUAAUAUAUAGUAAUAUAAAUAACAACACAAACAAAGACCUGAAUGAAAAAAAAAAUGAUUGUCAGACUUACCU